rnacentral:rRNA from 1 species
UUGACGUUGGAUUACCAGUGAGCGGCGGACGGGUGAGUAACACGUGGGCAACCUGCCCUGAAGUGGGGGAUAACAUCUGGAAACAGGUGCUAAUACCGCGUAACAACGAAAACCACAUGGUUUUCGUUUCAAAGAUGGUUUCGGCUAUCGCUUCAGGAUGGGCCCGCGGUGCAUUAGCUAGUUGGUAAGGUAACGGCUUACCAAGGCAAUGAUGCAUAGCCGAGUUGAGAGACUGAUCGGCCACAAUGGAACUGAGACACGGUCCAUACUCCUACGGGAGGCAGCAGUAGGGAAUCUUCCACAAUGGGCGCAAGCCUGAUGGAGCAACACCGCGUGAGUGAAGAAGGGUUUCGGCUCGUAAAGCUCUGUUGUUGGAGAAGAACGUGCGUGAGAGUAACUGUUCACGCAGUGACGGUAUCCAACCAGAAAGUCACGGCUAACUACGUGCCAGCAGCCGCGGUAAUACGUAGGUGGCAAGCGUUAUCCGGAUUUAUUGGGCGUAAAGCGAGCGCAGGCGGUUGCUUAGGUCUGAUGUGAAAGCCUUCGGCUUAACCGAAGAAGGGCAUCGGAAACCGGGCAACUUGAGUGCAGAAGAGGACAGUGGAACUCCAUGUGUAGCGGUGGAAUGCGUAGAUAUAUGGAAGAACACCAGUGGCGAAGGCGGCUGUCUGGUCUGCAACUGACGCUGAGGCUCGAAAGCAUGGGGUAGCGAACAGGAUUAGAUACCCUGGUAGUCCAUGCCGUAAACGAUGAGU